rnacentral:rRNA from 1 species
UUCACGGAGAGUUUGAUCCUGGCUCAGGACGAACGCUGGCGGCGCGCUUAAUACAUGCAAGUCGAGCGAGAACCUGGGCUUCGGCCCAGGGGACAGCGGCGAACGGGUGAGUAACACGUGGGUAAUCAACCCCCGACACCGGGAUAGCCCAGGGAAACUUGGAUUAAUACCGGAUGCUCCGUCUGGCCCUCGGGCCGGCCGGAAAAGGGUAGCUUCGGCCUCCGGUCGGGGACGAGCCCGCGGCGGAUUAGCUUGUUGGUGAGGUAAAAGCUCACCAAGGCGACGAUCCGUAGCUGGUCUGAGAGGACGAUCAGCCACACUGGGACUGAGACACGGC